ACAUCGCUCUCUGUAAGAAUUGUUGAAUAUAGAGAGUCGAGCCUGCCCAGUGACUAAAGUGUUAAACGGCCGCGGUACCCUGACCGUGCAAAGGUAGCAUAAUCAUUUGCCUUUUAAUUGGAGGCUUGUAUGAAUGGUUUGACGAGAACUAAGCUGUCUCUUUCUAAAUUUUUAGAAAUUAAUUUUUAGGUGAAGAAGCUUAAAUUUAAUUGAGGGACAAGAAGACCCUAUUGAGCUUGAGUGAAAUUGUAAAUUUUAAGGAUCUUAUACUGUAUCUGUAUAGUUUUUGUUCUGUAAAUUAACGGAAAUAAAGUUUAUAAUUAAUCUUUAGUUGGGGCGACUUAGGAACAAUAAAAGCUUCCUUGUAUCAUUUAAGGUAUACAGAUUAAACAGGAUCCAGUAGGUUACUGAUCAACGGAAAAAGUUACCAUAGGGAUAACAGCGUAAUCUUUCUGGAGAGUUCUUAUUGAAAGAAGGGUUUGCGACCUCGAUGUUGGACUAAGAUAUCCUGGGGGUGUAGAGGCUUCCAAAGGUUGGUCUGUUCGACCAUUAAAAUCUUACGUGAUCU
rnacentral:rRNA from 1 species